rnacentral:rRNA from 1 species
AACGAACGCUGGCGGCGUGCCUAACACAUGCAAGUCGAGCGAGAAAGCCCGCAAGGGUGAGUAAAGCGGCGCACGGGUGCGUAACACGUGGGUAAUCUGCCCUGAAGUCCGGAAUAACUCGCCGAAAGGCGUGCUAAUGCCGGAUGAGACCACGGGAGCCUCGGCCCCUGCGGGAAAAGGUGGCCUCUGUACACAAGCCAUCGCUUCAGGAUGAGCCCGCGGCCCAUCAGCUCGUUGGCGGGGUAAUGGCCCACCAAGGCCACGACGGGUAGCUGGUCUGAGAGGACGAUCAGCCACACUGGAACUGAGACACGGUCCAGACUCCUACGGGAGGCAGCAGUGGGGAAUCUUGCGCAAUGGGCGAAAGCCCGACGCAGCAACGCCGCGUGUGUGAUGAAGGUCUUCGGAUCGUAAAGCACUGUCGCGAGGGACGAAUGAGGGGCGGGCGAACAGCCCGUUCCGAUGACGGUACCUCGAGAGGAAGCACCGGCUAACUCUGUGCCAGCCGCCGCCGUAACAC